rnacentral:rRNA from 1 species
CGGCCGCGUCGACCGCACAAGCGGUGGAGCGAUGUGGUUUAAUUCGAAGCAACGCGAAGAACCUUACCAAAUCUUGACAUCCUCUGACAACUGUAGAGAUACAGCUUCCCUUCGGGGCAGAGUGACAGGUGGUGCAUGGUUGUCGUCAGCUCGUGUCGUGAGAUGUUGGGUUAAGUCCCGCAACGAGCGCAACCCUUAAGUUUAGUUGCCAUCAUUAAGUUGGGCACUCUAGACUGACUGCCGGUGACAAACCGGAGGAAGGUGGGGACGACGUCAAAUCAUCAUGCCCCUUAUGAUUUGGGCUACACACGUGCUACAAUGGACAGGUUACAAAGGGCAGCAACGCCGCGAGGCCAAGCGAAUCCCAUAAAACUGUUCUCAGUUCGGAUUGGAGUCUGCAACUCGACUCCAUGAAGCUGGAAUCGCUAGUAAUCGUAGAUCAGCAUGCUACGGUGAAUACGUUCCCGGGUCUUGUACGUCGACGCGGCCG